rnacentral:rRNA from 1 species
GCCCUAGUAACGGCGAGUGAAGCGGCAACAGCUCAAAUUUGAAAUCUGGCUCUCGGGCCCGAGUUGUAAUUUGUAGAGGAUACUUUUGAUGCGGUGCCUUCCGAGUUCCCUGGAACGGGACGCCAUAGAGGGUGAGAGCCCCGUCUGGUUGGAUGCCAAAUCUCUGUAAAGUUCCUUCGACGAGUCGAGUAGUUUGGGAAUGCUGCUCUAAAUGGGAGGUAUAUGUCUUCUAAAGCUAAAUACCGGCCAGAGACCGAUAGCGCACAAGUAGAGUGAUCGAAAGAUGAAAAGCACUUUGAAAAGAGAGUUAAAAAGUACGUGAAAUUGUUGAAAGGGAAGCGUUUAUGACCAGACUUGGGCUUGGUUAAUCAUCUGGGGUUCUCCCCAGUGCACUUUUCCAGUCCAGGCCAGCAUCAGUUUUCCCCGGGGGAUAAAGACUUCGGGAAUGUGGCUCUCUUCGGGGAGUGUUAUAGCCCGUUGUGUAAUACCCUGGGGGGGACUGAGGUUCGCGCAUCUGCAAGGAUGCUGGCGUAAUGGUCAUCAACGACCCGUCUUGAAACACGGACCAAGGAGUCGUCUUCGUAUGCGAGUGUUCGGGUGUCAAACCCCUACGCGUAAUGAAAGUGAACGCAGGUGAGAGCUUCGGCGCAUCAUCGACCGAUCCUGAUGUUCUCGGAUGGAUUUGAGUAAGAGCAUACGGGGCCGGACCCGAAAGAAGGUGAACUAUGCCUGUAUAGGGUGAAGCCAGAGGAAACUCUGGUGGAGGCUCGCAGCGGUUCUGACGUGCAAAUCGAUCGUCAAAUAUGGGCAUGGGGGCGAAAGACUAAUCGAACCUUCUAG